AGCAGUAGCCGCGGUAACACGAAGGGUGCAAGCGUUAAUCGGAAUUACUGGGCGUAAAGCGUGCGUAGGCGGUUUGUUAAGUCUGUUGUGAAAUCCCCGGGCUCAACCUGGGAAUGGCAAUGGAUACUGGCAAGCUAGAGUGUGUCAGAGGAUGGUGGAAUUCCCGGUGUAGCGGUGAAAUGCGUAGAGAUCGGGAGGAACAUCAGUGGCGAAGGCGGCCAUCUGGGACAACACUGACGCUGAGGCACGAAAGCGUGGGGAGCAAACAGGAUUAGAUACCCGCGUAGUCCCUGUCUCUUAUAC
rnacentral:rRNA from 1 species